rnacentral:rRNA from 1 species
CAGCCGCCGCGGGAAAACGUAGGUGGCAAGUGUUGUCCGGAAUUAUUGGGCGUAAAGGGCGCGUAGGCGGAUGGCACAGUCAGAUGUGAAAUUCCCGGGCUUAACCUGGGGGCUGCAUUUGAUACGUGUUGUCUAGAGUGAGGAAGAGGGUUGUGGAAUUCCCAGUGUAGAGGUGAAAUUCGUAGAUAUUGGGAAGAACACCGGUGGCGAAGGCGGCAACCUGGUCCUUGACUGACGCUGAGGCGCGAAAGCGUGGGGAGCAAACAGGAUUAGAUACCCCCGUAGUCCCUGUCUCUUAUAC